AUUGAACGCUGGCGGCAGGCUUAACACAUGCAAGUCGAGCGGAGCGAGGGUGCUUGCACCUUAGCUUAGCGGCGGACGGGUGAGUAAUGCUUAGGAAUCUGCCUAUUAGUGGGGGACAACAUUCCGAAAGGGAUGCUAAUACCGCAUACGCCCUACGGGGGAAAGCAGGGGAUCUUCGGACCUUGCGCCAAUAGAUGAGCCUAAGUCGGAUUAGCUAGUUGGUGGGGUAAAGGCCUACCAAGGCGACGAUCUGUAGCGGGUCUGAGAGGAUGAUCCGCCACACUGGGACUGAGACACGGCCCAGACUCCUACGGGAGGCAGCAGUGGGGAAUAUUGGACAAUGGGCGGAAGCCUGAUCCAGCCAUGCCGCGUGUGUGAAGAAGGCCCUUUGGUUGUAAAGCACUUUAAGCGAGGAGGAGGCUACUAGUAUUAAUACUACUGGAUAGUGGACGUUACUCGCAGAAUAAGCACCGGCUAACUCUGUGCCAGCCGCCGCCGUAA
rnacentral:rRNA from 1 species